CCAUUUGUGUGGAUACCAUCCUCUUGACCAAGAUGACAAACCAACCAUUGCAUCAGAACUCUCUUGGCGAGUAAUGAAGAAGCAUUCAGAGGCACUGGAAGGCUGGAAGGGAAUUUCCAUCCUUAGUACUUGCCUCCUCUAGGUUAGCUCCAGGAAAAAAAACACAAUGCCUAUGCUCCCCUUAUCCUUUCCCCUACCUAAUCCUCACACUCAGGUGGAAGCCUUUCUCCUGGGGUGGAAAGAAAGGAAGAGUUAGACUUACAGCAGAGUUGAGAGAGGCAGUAUGGAAACUGUGGUCACUACUGUGCUUUCUUGCUGGGGUGAAGGGUCACAGCAUCCCAACCUCUUGGUCCUCAAAUGCUGAGAUACUCUGCUUUGAGUAUCACAAGCAGCAUGUAUACUACACCCAAAGAGCUCCAUUCCAUACACACAUGGCUAUGGGUCUAACACAGAGUGAAUUGCCAGAUGCAAAUGUACAGAGGUGCUUUUAAUUUUGUUCCAAGUGUUACACAUCAUGUGGCAAAUUAGCCUUCAGAAAGCCAAUUUUAUUUUUUUCUGUUAAUAAUAAAAGACUUCUUAAACAAG